AUUGAACGCUGGCGGCAGGCCUAACACAUGCAAGUCGAGCGGAUGAAGGGAGCUUGCUCCUGGAUUCAGCGGCGGACGGGUGAGUAAUGCCUAGGAAUCUGCCUGGUAGGGGGGGAUAACGUCCGGAAACGGGCGCUAAUACCGCAUACGUCCUGAGGGAGAAGGUGGGGGAUCUUCGGACCUCACGCUAUCAGAUGAGCCUAGGUCGGAUUAGCUAGUUGGUGGGGUAAAGGCCUACCAAGGCGACGAUCCGUAACUGGUCUGAGAGGAUGAUCAGUCACACUGGAACUGAGACACGGUCCAGACUCCUACGGGAGGCAGCAGUGGGGAAUAUUGGACAAUGGGCGAAAGCCUGAUCCAGCCAUGCCGCGUGUGUGAAGAAGGUCUUCGGAUUGUAAAGCACUUUAAGUUGGGAGGAAGGGCAGUAAGUUAAUACCUUGCUGUUUUGACGUUACCAACAGAAUAAGCACCGGCUAACUUCGUG
rnacentral:rRNA from 1 species